rnacentral:rRNA from 1 species
AACUGGCUGUACAAUACUCCACAGGCAUCAGACCCCUGGGUACCCUAAAACACCGUACCGUCACCCUCACACACCGCCCGUCACCCUCAGACACCGCCCGUCACCCUCACACACCGCCCGUCACCCUCACACACCGCCCGUCACCCUCACACAACCGCCCGUCACCCUCACACACCGCCCGUCACCCUCACACACCGCCCAUCACCCUCACACACCGCCCGUCACCCUCACACACCGCCCGUCACCCUCACACACGGCCCGGCACCCUCAAACACGGGCGAGCACCGUCACACAUCUCCCGACACCCUCACAGCCCGACCGGACCCGUAACCCGCCCUUAGUAGGCGGAAUUAUCCGUAAGAGUGCGAUCAUACCCCGUAAGCUCACUUUAAAACGGGUCUGAGGCACGUACACACCGCCCGUCACCCUCACAUACAGCCGGUCACCCUCACCCUCACACACCGCCCGUCACCCUCACACACCGCCCGUCACCCUCACAC